AUUGUCCAAAGCCACAGGGAAAAUGGUGGAAAAUUCACCGUCGCCAUUACCAGAAAGAGCGAUUUAUGGCUUUGUUCUUUUCUUAAGCUCCCAGUUUGGCUUCAUACUAUAUCUUGUGUGGGCUUUUAUUCCUGAAACUUGGCUAAACUCCUUAGGCUUAACCUACUGGCCUCAAAAGUAUUGGGCAAUUGCAUUGCCCGUCUACCUCCUCAUUACUAUAGUAAUCGGUUAUGUACUCUUGUUUGGAAUAAACAUGAUGAGUACCUCUCCACUCAACUCCAUUCAUACGAUCACAGAUAACUAUGCUAAAAAUCAACAGCGGAAGAAUUACCAAGAAGAGGCCAUCCCGGCAUUAAGAGAUAUUCCUAUUAGUGAAGUAAACCAAAUGUUCUUUCUUGCAGCCAAAGAACAUCACACCCAAAACUAAACUGUUGUUUCUUGGGUUUUUUUCUCGCUCAAACAUUCAUCUGAAUGAAUAUAGAGAAAUAACCAACUUUCAUCUGCCACUUCUUAUGGGAAGACAAUCUACUUUUGUUCUUUUGGGCAUUUAGAAAAUGUUUGUUGCUGUCAGCAACCCAAAAGAUGAGCUCCCUGCCCGAUAUGGGGCUUGAACUCAUGACCUCGAGAUCAAGAGUCAUAUGCUGUACUGACUGAGCCAACCAAGCACCCCUCACCUGUUCUCUUGAUAAAGACUUCUCCUCUUGUAUUAACAAACCAGCUUUCUAAUGGGUCCCAGCCACUGUGACAGCCUCCCAUCUGACUUUCCUGUGCCCAGUCUUGCGUCUCUACAGAAAGAAUGCUCAGAGCACAAACCUGAUCCUAUCACUUUCCUGUUCAAAACUCUACAAGGCUCUUCUCCACAGCCCUCUGUGGAUCGGCCGGGCCCCUGAGCUUGCUGCACGAGACCCUUCGACCUGGUUCCUGAACAAUGACUCUCUUUCCGAGCAUGCUGCAAGCCUUCUCUUGACAUUUCAUGUAAUGGAACCACGCAGGGUAGUCUGUGGUAUCUGGAUUCUUUCACUUGGCACAAUGUUUUCACGGUCCAUUCAUGUGUCAGCAUGUUUUACUAUUUCAUUUCAUCUCUUUUUAUUACUGAAUUAUAUCCCAUUGCAUGGAUAGACCACAUUUUAUUGAUCCAUUCACCAGUUGAUCUACAUCUGGAUUGGUUUCAGUUUGGGAUUCUUGCAAAUAAAGCUGCUAUGGACA